GACAGAGGGUGCAAACGUUGUUCGGAAUUACUGGGCGUAAAGCGCGUGUAGGCUGCUUAGAAAGUCGGAUGUGAAAGCCCUGGGCUCAACCUAGGAAGUGCAUUCGAUACUGCGUGGCUAGAGUGCUGGAGAGGAGACUGGAAUUUACGGUGUAGCAGUGAAAUGCGUAGAUAUCGUAAGGAAGACCAGUGGCGAAGGCGAGUCUCUGGACAGCAACUGACGCUGAGGCACGAAGGCCAGGGGAGCAAACGGG
rnacentral:rRNA from 1 species